rnacentral:snRNA from 1 species
GUGCUUGCUUUGUCAGUGCAUACACUAAAAUUGGAAAAAUAUAGAGAAGGUUAGUGUGGUUCUGUGCAAGGAUGGCACAUAGCUUUGUGAAGUGUUCCCUAUUUUU